GCCGUAAACAUUGAUAGAUUAAUACAACCCCUAUCCGCCCGGGAACUACGAGCACCAGCUUAAAACCCAAAGGACUUGGCGGUGCUUUAGAUCCUACUAGAGGAGCCUGUUCUAGAACCGAUAACCCCCGUUCAACCUCACCUUUCCUUGUUUUUCCCGCCUAUAUACCGCCGUCGUCAGCCCACCCUAUGAAGGUUUAAAAGUAGGCUAAAUUGGCAUAGCCCAGAACGUCAGGCCGAGGUGUAGCGUAUGGAAGGGGAAGAAAUGGGCUACAUUCCCUAUUUUAGGGCAAACGAAUGAUAUGCUGAAACGCACAUCUUGAAGGAGGAUUUAGCAGUAAGCAGGAAGUAGAGCGUCCCGCUGAAAUUGGCUC
rnacentral:rRNA from 1 species